rnacentral:rRNA from 1 species
UACAGAGGUGGCAAGCGUUGUUCGGAAUUACUGGGCGUAAAGGGCGCGUAGGCGGCCUGCUAAGUCGAACGUGAAAUCCCUGGGCUCAACCCAGGAACUGCGUCCGAUACUGGUUGGCUUGAAUCCGGGAGAGGGACGUGGAAUUCCAGGUGUAGCGGUGAAAUGCGUAGAUAUCUGGAGGAACACCGGUGGCGAAGGCGACGUCCUGGACCGGCAUUGACGCUGAGGCGCGAAAGCCAGGGGAGCAAACGGG